CAGGUUUGGUGCCUUCAUGAUUUCAUCAUGAUUUUCCUAUUGUUUGUUAGGUGGAUAGCAUUCUACUAGAAAAUCGGCAAUUACCUGGCCCUUCUGGGCUGUUCGAGGUUGAUAUCUAAUGUCGAAUGCUCCGAGCUUGAUGGCCCACGUUGUAACUCUUCCUGAAAGGUCUGGCUUGGACAUUACCGCCCUGAUUGGUUGGGUCGUCAAUACGAUGAUCAUGUGUGUCUCGAAGUAUGGUCGAAGUUUCCGCUUGGCCGUCACUAAAGCUAACACGAGUUUCUCAG
rnacentral:lncRNA from 1 species